UACGUAGGGUGCAGGCGUUAAUCGGAAUUACUGGGCGUAAAGCGUGCGCAGGCGGUUUUGUAAGUCUGUCGGGAAAUCCCCGGGCUUAACCUGGGAAUUGCGAUGGAGACUGCAAGGCUAGAAUCUGGCAGAGGGGGGUAGAAUUCCACGUGUAGCAGUGAAAUGCGUAGAGAUGUGGAGGAACACCGAUGGCGAAGGCAGCCCCCUGGGCUAACACUGACGCUCAUGCACGAAAGCGUGGGGAGCAAACAGG
rnacentral:rRNA from 1 species